GGAGGGAUGGCCGAGCGGUUUAAGGCACCGGUCUUGAAAACCGGCGUGGGGGCGACCUCACCGUGGGUUCGAAUCCCACUCCCUCCGCCA
rnacentral:tRNA from 2 species